CUUGGCGAUCACGGUCUCGAACGUAUUCGUGACGAUGAAGGCCGCGGCCAGGAGACUGCUGAUCAUCAGCGCGACAUCGGGCGUCCCGCCGCGGUUGACCUCGCGCGCCGCGCGCCAGAAGAGGCCGUCCUGGGCCAUGGCGUAGAUCACGCGCGGCGCCAUCAGCACGUUCGCACUCACCGCGCUGAGGAGGAUCAGCA
rnacentral:misc_RNA from 1 species